CACAGCAGCUUGCUCUCCUGGCUGGCUUCCCGCACCACCUGCAGCGCCACCCCGCGGCCGCCUGUGGCCUGCUGCCUCACCUACCUCCCUGCUCCCCUAAGCCCCUUCCUGUUUAGAGCCUCUGGGAUUAGUGCUUCAGAAGCUAUGAUCCCCUGAAGUCAAAUGAGACCAAUUUAGUAUGCGUAUAUGGGAUUCCAGUUUGUGCCUCCUCAACCAUACAAAGCCACAUCUGUCUACAUACCCCACAAGGUGUGACCUCUGCAAGGCCAAAAUCAGCACAGAUAACUAAAAGGCAGCUGUCUACAGAAGAGAAUUAAUAAUGGUGUCUGCUGAGGGAGGAUACACUGAUGCCAAAUCAGACCCUCAAAGAUCUUCUAAACCUAUGCUUCCCCUAUCAGAUCUUACUAUUACUGCUGUUAAUGAUAAUAAUUAAAGCUCAUUCUUG
rnacentral:antisense_RNA from 1 species